UACGGGGGGGAGCAAGCGUUGUUCGGAUUUACUGGGCGUAAAGGGCGCGUAGGCGGCCACCGCAAGUCGGUUGUGAAAUCUCUGGGCUUAACCCAGAAAGGUCAACCGAUACUGCGGGGCUAGAGUGCAGAAGGGGGCAACUGGAAUUCUCGGUGUAGCGGUGAAAUGCGUAGAUAUCAGGAGGAACACCGGUGGCGAAGGCGGGGUCUCUGGGCAACACUGACGUGAGGAGCGAAAAGCCGUGGGGGAGCGA
rnacentral:rRNA from 1 species